GAAUGUGGAAGCGGGGAACGUGAUAUACGGUGUACCAAGCUUCUUGUUUUGAUUGUUCGUUUACAGUCGAGAAGAUUUGGCGAAUACGUUGCCGCCAAAACCUUAUCUCCUUUAAAACCUACGCUCCACUUGCUUCCCUCCGUUCAUGGCAGCUCUGCCACCGCCAUGGCCUACCUCUCCAGUCUCCACCACGCGCCUUAUCCCCGCCUACUUCUCCACCACCGCUACCUCUUCUUUUCUGCAUCCUCCCCACCUCCCGUCGUCACUACACGACGCCUUGUUCCUACACUGGCAUGCCAUGGCCGCGAUCUGCUCGACGUAAUGCCCUACAGAGACAGCAGGCCCUCAGGAACGGAGGGAAGCAGAGCAGGCCCAGGCGGAGCACCGCGUGUCACAAACAGCUCAACUGUGCGAGGAAACGCCACAGCACAGGAGGCACAUAUGCCGAUGUGGCGGGAAAGGACCCCUGGCACGCCAAGGACGUGGAAGAAAGGGGACAGGGUUAUGCUACAAGAACAUGCGGAGGGGGAGUCACAAGAAAAGAGCUGGAGGCGAGGGCUGACACGGAGUUUGGAGUCAAAAGGGCCCAUGGUGAGGAAGAGCUGGACUAGAGACGGAAAUGGAAUGCGGGCAAAAGAAUCUGGAAAGGUUGGAAAUUCAAGAGAUGAGGGUACAGGAAGAAGAAACGCAUGUAAGAAAAUGAAGAAACCCCCGGAUGGUGAGUAUGCUGGCAAGCUGAGAGUUGAGCUGGACAUGUGCUCCAAGAGAGGAGAUGUGAUGGGGGCGAUCACUCUGUAUGAUUCCGCAGUCGAGGAGGGGAUCAAGUUGGGGCAGCAUCACUACAAUGUGCUCCUUUAUCUGUGUUCUUCAGCUUCUCUUGGUUUUGUGCAACCAGCAAAAAGUGGUAAUAUGGGUAGUGGUAUCGCCAGUAUUGGUCCUGCACAGAAACUUGAUCCAUCACCCAGCAGAAGCUUGGGAGGUUCAGAGGGAGACAAUGCAUAUGCAUCUGAAAGUCAUGUUCAAGAUCAGGGAAAAAACAAGGCCGAUUUGAUUCCAGGUGGUUUGAAGGCACAAACAGUUAGCAUACCAGUAGAAGAUGAGCUUGGAGACUAUGCACGUGCACGAGGAUUUGAGAUAUUUGAUAAAAUGUGCUCAGAGAAAGAGAGAGUUCAAAUGAGUGAGGCUGCUCUGACCGCAAAGGCACGUAUGGCGUUGUCCAUGGGUGACAGUGAUAUGGCCUUUGAGAUUGUGAAACAGAUGAAAGGCCUGGGUUUAAAGCCAAAGUUGCGCUCAUAUGGUCCUGCUUUAACAGCAUUUUGCAACAGUGGUAAUGUUGAAAAAGCAUUUGAAGUAGAAGCCCAUAUGUUGGAAUCUGGGAUCACACCCGAAGAAGCUGAGUUGGAGACACUUCUCAGGGCUAGUGUGGUUGGCCGACGCGGAGACAAGGUAUAUUAUUUGCUGCAUAAAUUUAGGACUGCUGUCAGACAGGUAUCCCAUUCCACAGCUGAAUUGUUUGAGGCUUGGUUUCGGAGCCCAACAGCAUCUAAAGUUGGAAAGAGAAAGUGGGAUGCAGGUGCUAUAGCGAAGGCUAUUGAGAAUAAUGGAGGGGGUUGGCAUGGGUUUGGUUGGUUGGGGAGAGGGAAAUGGACAGUGGCACACUCAAAUAUCAACGAGAAUGGUGUCUGCCUUGCUUGUGGAGAAAAGCUGGCUAUUAUAGAUCUUGACCCAAAAGAAACAGAAGAUUUUGCCACAUUUGUGGCAAAAUUAGCUAUUAAGAGAGAGAGGAAAUCGAACUUUGAGAACUUCCAGAAAUGGCUUGAAAAGCAUGGGCCUUUUGAGGCAGUCGUGGAUGCUGCCAAUGUUGGCCUGUUUAGCCACAAACACCUUUCUUUGAGUAAGGUUAAUUCUGUUGCCGAUGCAAUAAGGCUAAGGUUUACGUCAAAAAAAUGGCCUUUGAUAGUUUUACAUAACAAGCAUCUCAUUGGAGAGCGCAUGAAAAAACUUAAUGAUCACAAGUUGGUACAAAAGUGGAAGCAAGAAAAUUCAAUAUAUGCAACCCCUACUGGUUCAAAUGAUGAUUGGUACUGGCUGUACGCUGCUAUCAGAUGCAAAUGCUUGAUCAUUACCAAUGAUGAAAUGAGAGACCACACAUUUCAGAUUUUGGAAAGGAAUUUCUUCCCCAAGUGGAAGGAAAGGCAUCAGUAUUGUUUUCACUAACAGGUACACUUCACUUUGGAAGACCGCUGCGUCACAUUUCAAAUGCCACCUCCAUACUCAGUUGUUAUACAGGAAUCCGAUAAAGGUCACUGGCAUAUCCCUGUCUCGGAGGAAGGCUUGCUAGAGAAGGACCGAACCUGGCUAUGCGUUACACGGCAGAAUUCACAGGCACAGUGACUAACGAAGCUGGAGUUGUUCGAUGGCAAACAUUAACGGUGUUUUUUUUUCUGAACACUCAAGUCAGUAUCGCAUCCGCCCUCUCUUCGUCAGUCUGAGAAACUUCCUCUAUUAAGUACUCAUUAUGAUUUCUACAUGGUCUUAUUCAGUUUUGUUACUGAACUGCUGCAUAUGUUGUAAUUCUGUCUUAUUCAGUUUUGAGCUGGUCUACAUUUUGUUUAGUAAACUGAUAUAGGUAAUACGAUUCCCUGCUAUCAGAACAAGAUCUCUGCUAUUUUCCGCUCAUCCCAGGAUCAGGAAAUAACCGCAAAGCUGACGAGAUACUGUGCAUACUGGCAUAGUCACUUUGCUUCCGUUGGUGAAAUUUUUACGUCCAUAUGACAUGCAUGGAAAAAAGAACAGGCCUGAUUGAAUUC